UGAAAAGCGUAAUGAGAAACGCCCUGUGCGA
rnacentral:piRNA from 1 species